rnacentral:tRNA from 1 species
GUUGCUAUAGCUCAGUAGGUAGAGUACUUGCCUUGCACACAUAAGGCCCUGGGUUCAAUCCCCAGCACCAAAA